AAAAGCAGAAAGCGAAGUUCUGAGCUGAACUUGGUCACUUACGACCUUCGGCUCCAAGACUCAGUAUUAUGGCCUGAAAACCAGACAUCAUUUUCUCAGUUCUUUCUUCUUAAAAAUAAAAUGUUGAGUAGCUGCUACACCAGAAAGAUGGUGGAGCAAGAGCAAAGAAAAAUCCCUUUGGUUCCAGAAAAUCUCCUGAAAAGGAGGAAGGCUUAUCAAGCCCUCGAAGCCACUCAGGCAAAGCAGGCACUUUUGGCAAAGAAGGAGCAGAGGAAAGGAAAAGGGCUCAGGUUUAAGCGAGUGGAGUCAUUCCUACGUGAUUCCUGGCAGCAGACACGUGGCAAGGUGCAUGUCAGACGACUGGAAGUGAAGCCUCACGCCUUGGAAUUGCCAGAUAAACAUUCUUUGGCCUUUGUUGUAUGCAUCGAAAGGAUUGAUGGUGUGAGUUUACUGGUGCAGAGAACCGCUGCCAAGACUUCGCCUAAAGAAAAUUUUUAGUGGUGUCUUUGUAAAAGUCACUCUCCAGAACCUGAAAAUGCUGCGUAUAGUGGAAGCUUAUGUGACCUGGGGAUUUCCAAAUCUGAAGUCAGUCCGGGAACUCAUUUUGAAACGUGGACAAGCCAGGGUCAAGGACAAGACCAUCCCUCUGACAGACAACACUGUGAUUGAGGGGCACCUGGGGAAGUUUGGUGUCAUUUGCUUGGAAGACCUCAUUCAUGAAAUUGCCUUCCCGGGGAAGCAUUUCCAGGAGAUCUCAUGGUUCUUUCUCCCUUUCCACCUCUCAGUGGCCCGUCAUGCUACCAAAAAUAGAGUGGGCUUCCUCAAGGAGAUGGGCACACCUGGCUAUUGGGGUGAACGCAUCAAUCAGCUCAUCUGCCAGCUGAACUAGAACCAGGUGCCAAAUUGCAAUAAAUUUUUAUCAAUGAAGUGGAAGCAUGUGUUUUUGGGUUUGGAGAAUUUGUAUCAAGUAUCUUCAGAGAAGAUUAUUUCCUGCUUUAUCUUUAAAAACUGGAAAGGAAGGGUCAAAGAAAAGACAGUAGCUGGCCAGGCGCGGUGGCUCAUGUCUGUAAUCCCAAUACUUUGAGACCCUGAGGAGGGCGGAUUACCUAAGGUCGGGAGUUCGAGACCAGCCUGACCAACAUGGUGAAACCCUGUCUCUACUGAAAAUACAAAAAUUAGCGGGGCAUGGUGGCCCAUGCCUAUAAUCCCAGCUACUCGGGAGGCUGAGGCAGGAGAAUCGCUUGAACCCGGGAGGCAGGGGUUGCGGUGAGCUAAGAUCACACCAUUGCACUUUAGCCUAGGCAACAAGCAAAACU